GACGAACGCUGGCGGCGUGCCUAAUACAUGCAAGUCGAGCGGGGAGCUUCGGCUCCUAGCGGCGAACGGGUGAGUAACACGUGGGCAACCUACCCUCAAGACUGGGAUAACACCGGGAAACCGGUGCUAAUACCAGAUAAUCUCAAGUCCCGCAUGAGAUUCGAGUAAAAGAACUUCACUUGAGGAUGGGCCCGCGGCGCAUUAGCUUGUUGGUGGGGUAACGGCCCACCAAGGCGACGAUGCGUAGCCGACCUGAGAGGGUGACCGGCCACACUGGGACUGAGACACGGCCCAGACUCCUACGGGAGGCAGCAGUAGGGAAUUUUCCGCAAUGGGCGAAAGCCUGACGGAGCAACGCCGCGUGAAUGAGGACGGCCUUCGGGUUGUAAAAUUCUGUUCUUGGGGAAGAAUUCUGACGGUACCCAAGGAGAAAGCCCCGGCUAACUACGUGCCAGCCGCCGCCGUAAGAC
rnacentral:rRNA from 1 species